rnacentral:rRNA from 1 species
UACGUAGGGUGCGAGCGUUAAUCGGAAUUACUGGGCGUAAAGCGUACGUAGGCGGCUUUGCAAGUUAGAGGUGAAAGCCUGGAGCUCAACUCCAGAACUGCCUUUAAAACUGCAUCGCUUGAAUCCAGGAGAGGUGAGUGGAAUUCCGAGUGUAGAGGUGAAAUUCGUAGAUAUUCGGAAGAACACCAGUGGCGAAGGCGGCUCACUGGACUGGUAUUGACGCUGAGGUACGAAAGCGUGGGGAGCAAACAGG